CCUACGGGAGGCAGCAGUGAGGAAUAUUGGUCAAUGGACGAGAGUCUGAACCAGCCAAGUAGCGUGAAGGAUGACUGCCCUCUGGGUUGUAAACUUCUUUUAUAAAGGAAUAAAACGAGGCACGUGUGCCUCUUUGCAUGUACUUUAUGAAUAAGGAUCGGCUAACUCCGUGCCAGCAGCCGCGGUAAUACGGAGGAUCCGAGCGUUAUCCGGAUUUAUUGGGUUUAAAGGGAGCGUAGAUGGGUUGUUAAGUCAGUUGUGAAAGUUUGGGGCUCAACCGUAAAAUUGCAAUUGAUACUGGCAGUCUUGAGUACAGUUGAGGUAGGCGGAAUUCGUGGUGUAGCGGUGAAAUGCUUAGAUAUCACGAAGAACACCGAUUGCGAAGGCAGCUUACUAAACUGUGACUGACAUUGAUGCUCGAAAGUGUGGGUAUCAAACAGGAUUAGAUACCCUGGUAGUC
rnacentral:rRNA from 1 species